GACGAACGCUGGCGGCGUGCCUAAUACAUGCAAGUCGAACGCAGUGGGGACGGGUGAGUAACACGUGGGUAACCUCCCAUCAGAGGGGAUAACACUUGGAAACUGGUGCUAAACCGAUACUGAUGGAUGGACCCGCGGUGCAUUAGCUAGUUGGUGGGGUAACGGCUCACCAAGGCCACGAUGCAUAGCCGGUCUGAGAGGAUGAUCAGCCACACUGGAACUGAGACACGGCCCAGACUCCUACGGGAGGCAGCAGUGGGGAAUAUUGGGCAAUGGGCGAAAGUCUGACCGAGCAAUGCCGCGUGAGUGAAGAAGGUUUUCGGGUCGUAAAGCUCUUUUGGUAGAGAAGCGGUAUCUAACCAGAAAGCCACGGCUAACUCCGUGCCAGCCGCCGCGGUAAUUC
rnacentral:rRNA from 1 species